UACGGGGGGAGCAAGCGUUGUUCGGAUUUACUGGGCGUAAAGGGCGCGUAGGCGGCCAGCACAAGUCAGUUGUGAAAUCUCCGAGCUUAACUCGGAAAGGUCAACUGAUACUGUGCGGCUAGAGUGCGGAAGGGGCAACUGGAAUUCUUGGUGUAGCGGUGAAAUGCGCAGAUAUCAGGAGGAACACCGGUGGCGAAGGCGGAUCUCUGGGCCGUAACUGACGCUGAGGAGCGAAAGCAUGGGGAGCGAACAGG
rnacentral:rRNA from 1 species